UAGAGUCUCUCCAUCCAAUUUAGGAAUUCUG
rnacentral:piRNA from 1 species